rnacentral:rRNA from 1 species
CCUACGGGAGGCUGCAGUGAGGAAUAUUGGUCAAUGGACGGAAGUCUGAACCAGCCAUGCCGCGUGCAGGAAGACGGCUCUAUGAGUUGUAAACUGCUUUUGUACAAGGGUAAACCUGAAUACGUGUAUUCAGCUGAAAGUACUGUACGAAUAAGGAUCGGCUAACUCCGUGCCAGCAGCCGCGGUAAUACGGAGGAUCCAAGCGUUAUCCGGAUUUAUUGGGUUUAAAGGGUGCGUAGGCGGAUUGAUAAGUUAGAGGUGAAAUGUCCGAGCUUAACUCGGGCACUGCCUCUAAUACUGUUGAUCUAGAGAGUAGAUGCGGUAGGCGGAAUGUAUGGUGUAGCGGGGAAAUGCUUAGAGAUCAUACAGAACACCGAUUGCGAAGGCAGCUUACCAAUCUAUAUCUGACGUUGAGGCACGAAAGCGUGGGGAGCAAACAGGAUUAGAUACCCGAGUAGUC